GACGAACGCUGGCGGCGUGCUUAACACAUGCAAGUCGAACGGAAAGGCCCUGCUUUUGUGGGGUGCUCGAGUGGCGAACGGGUGAGUAACACGUGAGUAACCUGCCCUUGACUUUGGGAUAACUUCAGGAAACUGGGGCUAAUACCGGAUAGGAGCUCCUGCUGCAUGGUGGGGGUUGGAAAGUUUCGGCGGUUGGGGAUGGUCGCGCGGCUUAUCAGCUUGUUGGUGGGGUAGUGGCUUACCAAGGCUUUGACGGGUAGCCGGCCUGAGAGGGUGACCGGCCACAUUGGGACUGAGAUACGGCCCAGACGCCUACGGGAGGCAGCAGGGGGGAAUAUUGCACAAUGGGCGGAAGCCUGAUGCAGCAACGCCGCGUGCGGGAUGACGGCCUUCGGGUUGUAAACCGCUUUCGCCUGUGACGAAGCGUGAGUGACGGUAAUGGGUAAAGAAGCACCGGCUAACUACGUG
rnacentral:rRNA from 1 species